ensembl:misc_RNA Metazoa_SRP Metazoan signal recognition particle RNA
GCCAAGCAAGGUGGCAGGUACCCAUAGUCCCAACUACUCAAGAGGCUGAGGCAGGAGGAUAGCUAUAGCCCUGGAGUUCUUGGCGUAGUGCUGUAUUGGAGUUCUAGGGUAUGGUCCAUAUUAAGUUUAGCAUCAAUACGGCAGCCUCUUAGAAGCAGGAGACCGAUAAGUUGCUUAAGGAGGAGUAAACUGGCCCAGUUUAGAAAUGGAGCAGGUAAAAACGUUCAUGCUGAUCAGUAGUGGUACGGUACCUAUGAAUUGCCCCUGCACUCUAGCCUGGGCAACAUAGCAGACCCCAUCUCU